rnacentral:rRNA from 1 species
AUACGGAGGUUGCGAGCGUUAAUCGGAAUUACUGGGCGUAAAGCGUACGUAGGCGGUUCGUUAAGUUAGAUGUGAAAGCCCCGGGCUUAACCUGGGAACUGCAUUUAAAACUGGCGAACUAGAGUUGAGUAGAGGGGAGUGGAAUUUCAGGUGUAGCGGUGAAAUGCGUAGAGAUCUGAAGGAACACCAGUGGCGAAGGCGACUCCCUGGACUCGAACUGACGCUGAGGUACGAAAGCGUGGGUAGCAAACGGGAUUAGAAACCCUUGUAGUCC